CCUCGGCUGCGGGGUAGCGGGCAGCCCUGCGCUGCCGGCCGCCUAGCCUGCACCCCCCGCCCUGGGAGGGAAGCCUCGCUCCAGCCGCGUCGUUUCCGCGCCGAAGUGGCAGUUGCUGGAGUACCAGGGCACCAAGUGGAGGAUGUGGUAGACAGCCUCUAAGAUGCGCCCCCUGCCAAUGAUCUCUGCCUCCAGGGAGGAGCUAGAAGGCAGAGAGAAAGCCACUCAGGACUUCCCAUCCCAGAAGAUAAAGGUGAGGAAAGCAGCAGCAGCAGCCACAGGCCAGUAUUCCAGAGCAGCUUUGGGUUCCUGUCAAGACCUGCUUUGAGAAGGAGGUGGCUGUGGGGCUGGAGGGCUGGGCCUGUUCCUGAGCUGGCUGCUGGCAGCACAGCAAUGAGGCAACAUUGAGAACUGCGACACGAGGCCCAGUCCUGCUACUAAACCAACUGUGUGGACUUGCAUAGUCACUUCACCCCUCGGGCCUCCAUUUCUCCACUUUGGAAAGCAGUGUUGGGACGAUGUUAAGGGUUUGCAACCUUCCAACAUGAAGACUUAUUUUUAAAAGCAAAACAUUUCAAAGAGUCCACAUGACAGUAGUGUUCAUUUUGGCAUCUGUUGAUUUAACAAAUACAAAAUUAGGCUGGGUGUAGUUGCUAACGCCUGUAAUUCCAGCACUUUGGGAGACCGAGGCAGGAGGAUCACCUGAAAUCAGGAGUUCGAGACCAGCCUGGCCAACAUGGUGGAACUCCAUCACUACCAAAAAUACAAAAAUUAGCUGGGCUUGGUGGCACGUGCCUGUAAUCCCAGCUACUCGGGAGGCUGAGGCAGGAGAAUCAUUUGAACCCGGGAGGCAGAGGUUGCAGUGACCUGAGAUUGCACCACUGUACUCCAGCCUGGGCAACAGGGCAAGACUCCAUUAAAAAAAAAAAUACAAAAUU
rnacentral:lncRNA from 1 species